UUGGUUCAAAAAUGAAGCUGU
ensembl:piRNA 21ur-2929 ncRNA